rnacentral:rRNA from 1 species
UACAGAGGUCUCAAGCGUUGUUCGGAUUCAUUGGGCGUAAAGGGUGUGUAGGUGGCGCCGUAAGUCGGGUGUGAAAUUUCGGAGCUUAACUCCGAAACUGCAUUCGAUACUGCGGUGCUUGAGGACUGAGAGGAGACUGGAAUUUACGGUGUAGCAGUGAAAUGCGUAGAUAUCGUAAGGAAGACCAGUGGCGAAGGCGGGUCUCUGGACAGUUCCUGACACUGAGACACGAAGGCCAGGGGAGCAAACGGG